ensembl:snRNA U6 U6 spliceosomal RNA
GUGCUUGCUUCAGCAGCAUAUACAGUAAAAUUGGAAUGAUACAGAGAAUAUUAACAUGGUCACUACACAAGGAUAAUAUGCAAAUUCAUAAAGUGUUCCAUAUUUUU